ensembl:lncRNA
GUCUGGUACGCUGCAGCCACAGCCAAGGACCAGCUCUUCCAGGACCCUGAAGCGAGCUAAAAAAAUUGUUGCCAACCCCUCUCAACCCGGACAAAACCUGUGUGUGCCCCUUCUAUCUGGCAGGAGGCUGAGGUCCAUCAGGACCAAGACCUCUUGCCACACAAACAGCGCAUCUUUGAAAUGGGAAGAAGAAAGGUAACGGGAAAAAAGGAUGGAUCAGUGGUGUCUCUCACUUUGACUACAAAAGAGUGAAGGAGGAAAAACUUCAUUAUACGGGCGAGUGACAGAAAGUGUGGCGCACGACGACAGAGAGACACACAGAACGAGGGGGGCUUUUUUUCCUCUCUGCCCACCUCUGUUUCAUGUCUGUGUCGCUGAAAAAAACAAAGAAGGCAUCUCUGUGGACCGCUCUAUCCAGAGCACAGACACACACACACGACCCC